rnacentral:rRNA from 1 species
ACUCAAAUGAAUAGACGGGGACCCGCACAAGCGGUGGAGCAUCUGGUUUAAUUCGACAGUAAACGAAGAACCUCACCAAGGCUUGACAUCCCGAGAAGAUUGCCGAAAGGCGAUUGUGCCGCAAGGAACUCGGUGACAGGUGCUGCAUGGUUGUCGUCAGCUCGUGCCUUGAGGUGUUCGGUUAAGUCCGUAAACGAGCGCAACCCAUGUCUUAUGUUGAAUUUUUCAUAAGAGACUGCCGGCUCCAAGUCGGAGGAAGGUAUGGAUGACGUCAAAUCAGCAUGGCCCUUAUGCCUUGGGCCACACAGGUGCUACAAUGGAAGAUACAAAGGGCAGCUACAUAGUAAUAUGAGGCCAAUCCUAAAAGUCUUUCUUAGUUCGGAUUGAGGGCUGCAAUUCGCCCUCAUGAAGCUGGAAUCGCUAGUAAACGUGAAUCAGCUAUGUCACGUUGAAUAUGUUCCCGGGUCUUGUACACACCGCCCGU